rnacentral:rRNA from 1 species
AGAGAUUGAACAUAAGAGUUUGAUCCUGGCUCAGAUUGAACGCUGGCGGCAUGCUUUACACAUGCAAGUCGGACGGCAGCACAGAGAAGCUUGCUUCUCGGGUGGCGAGUGGCGAACGGGUGAGUAACAUAUCGGAACGUACCGAGUAGUGGGGGAUAACUGAUCGAAAGAUCAGCUAAUACCGCAUACGUCUUGAGAGAGAAAGCAGGGGACCUUUGGGCCUUGCGCUAUUCGAGCGGCCGAUAUCUGAUUAGCUAGUUGGU